rnacentral:rRNA from 1 species
ACCCUACAGAGAUGGAUACCCUCGGGAAACUGAGGUUAACCCGUCAUACCGAUCUCAGGCUCGAAUCGCAGAGAUCACAAAACGCCCCGGCGCUGUAGGAUGUGGCUGCGGUUGAUUAGGUAGACGGUGGGGUAACGGCCCACCGUGCCCAUAAUCAGUACAGGUUGUGAGAGCAAGAACCUGGAGACGGAAUCUGAGACAAGAUUCCGGGCCCUACGGGGCGCAGCAGGCGCGAAACCUUUACACUGCACGCACGUGCGAUAAGGGGACUCCGAGUGCGAGGGCAUAUCGUCCUCGCUUUCGUGUACCGUAGGGUGGUACACCAACAAGGGCUGGGCAAGACCGGUGCCAGCCGCCGCGGUAAUACCGGCAGCUCAAGUGAUGUCCCAUAUUAUUGGGCCUAAAGCGUCCGUAGCUGGCCGACCAAGUCUACCGGGAAAUCCACCCGCCCAACGGGUGGGCGUCCGGUAGAAACUGGCCGGCUUGGAACCGGAAGGCUCAGAGAGUACGUCCGGGGUAGGAGUGAAAUCCCGUAAUCCCGGACGGACUACCGAUGGCGAAAGCACUCUGAGAAGACGGCUUCGACAGUGAGGGACGAAAGCUCGGGACUCAAACCGGAUUAGAUACCCGGGUAGUC